rnacentral:rRNA from 1 species
CCCUUUGUUUACCUUACCUUUGUUGCUUUGGCAGGCCCGUCCUCCGGGACCGCCGGCUUCGGCUGGCCCGCGCCCGCCAGAGGACCCCAAACUCUUGUUUAAUUGUCGUCUGAGUACCAAAAUAAUAGUUAAAACUUUCAACAACGGAUCUCUUGGUUCUGGCAUCGAUGAAGAACGCAGCGAAAUGCGAUAAGUAAUGUGAAUUGCAGAUUUCAGUGAAUCAUCGAAUUUUUGAACGCACAUUGCGCCCUCUGGUAUUCCGGGGGGCAUGCCUGUUCGAGCGUCAUUACAACCCUCAAGCUCUGCUUGGUAUUGCGCGUCGCCGGCUUCCCGGCGCGCCUCAAAGUCAGUGGCGGUGCCGUCCGGCUUCAAGCGUAGUAACUUACUCUCGCUCUGGAGCUCCGGGCGGCUGCCUGCCAGCAACCCCAAUUUUACCACAGGUUGACCUCGGAUCAGGUAGGGAUACCCGCUGAACUUAAGCAUAUCAAUA